AACGAACGCUGGCGGCAGGCUUAACACAUGCAAGUCGAACGCGUGUAGCAAUACACGAGUGGCGCACGGGUGAGUAACACGUGGAUAUCUGCCUUUUGGUUCGGAAUAACUCCGGGAAACUGGAGCUAAUACCGGAUGGUUCCUACGGGAUAAAGAUUUAUCGCCAAAAGAUGAGUCCGCGCACGAUUAGCUAGUUGGUGAGGUAAUGGCUCACCAAGGCGACGAUCGUUAGCUGGUCUGAGAGGACGAUCAGCCACACUGGGACUGAGACACGGCCCAGACUCCUACGGGAGGCAGCAGUGGGGAAUAUUGGACAAUGGGGGCAACCCUGAUCCAGCCAUGCCGCGUGAGUGAUGAAGGCCUUCGGGUUGUAAAGCUCUUUUGGCGGGGACGAUGAUGACGGUACCCGCAGAAUAAGCCCCGGCUAACUUCGUGCCAGCCGCCGCCGUAACAC
rnacentral:rRNA from 1 species